UUAAGCGACUAAGCGUACACGGUGGAUGCCCUGGCAGUCAGAGGCGAUGAAGGACGUGCUAAUCUGCGAUAAGCGUCGGUAAGGUGAUAUGAACCGUUAUAACCGGCGAUUUCCGAAUGGGGAAACCCAGUGUGAUUCGUCACACUAUCAUUAACUGAAUCCAUAGGUUAAUGAGGCGAACCGGGGGAACUGAAACAUCUAAGUACCCCGAGGAAAAGAAAUCAACCGAGAUUCCCCCAGUAGCGGCGAGCGAACGGGGAGCAGCCCAGAGCCUGAAUCAGUGUGUGUGUUAGUGGAAGCGUCUGGAAAGGCGCGCGAUACAGGGUGACAGCCCCGUACACAAAAAUGCACAUGCUGUGAGCUCGAUGAGUAGGGCGGGACACGUGGUAUCCUGUCUGAAUAUGGGGGGACCAUCCUCCAAGGCUAAAUACUCCUGACUGACCGAUAGUGAACCAGUACCGUGAGGGAAAGGCGAAAAGAACCCCGGCGAGGGGAGUGAAAAAGAACCUGAAACCGUGUACGUACAAGCAGUGGGAGCACAGAGCAAUCUGUGUGACUGCGUACCUUUUGUAUAAUGGGUCAGCGACUUAUAUUCUGUAGCAAGGUUAACCGAAUAGGGGAGCCGAAGGGAAACCGAGUCUUAACUGGGCGUUAAGUUGCAGGGUAUAGACCCGAAACCCGGUGAUCUAGCCAUGGGCAGGUUGAAGGUUGGGUAACACUAACUGGAGGACCGAACCGACUAAUGUUGAAAAAUUAGCGGAUGACUUGUGGCUGGGGGUGAAAGGCCAAUCAAACCGGGAGAUAGCUGGUUCUCCCCGAAAGCUAUUUAGGUAGCGCCUCGUGAAUUCAUCUCCGGGGUAGAGCACUGUUUCGGCAAGGGGUCAUCCCGACUUACCAACCCGAUGCAAACUGCGAAUACCGGAGAAUGUUAUCACGGGAGACACACGGCGGGUGCUAACGUCCGUCGUGAAAAGGGAAACAACCCAGACCGCCAGCUAAGGUCCCAAAGUCAUGGUUAAGUGGGAAACGAUGUGGGAAGGCCCAGACAGCCAGGAUGUUGGCUUAGAAGCAGCCAUCAUUUAAGAAAGCGUAAUAGCUCACUGGUCGAGUCGGCCUGCGCGGAAGAUGUAACGGGGCUAAACCAUGCACCGAAGCUGCGGCAGCGACGCUGAUGCGUUGUUGGGUAGGGGAGCGUUCUGUAAGCCUGCGAAGGUGUGCUGUGAGGCAUGCUGGAGGUAUCAGAAGUGCGAAUGCUGACAUAAGUAACGAUAAAGCGGGUGAAAAGCCCGCUCGCCGGAAGACCAAGGGUUCCUGUCCAACGUUAAUCGGGGCAGGGUGAGUCGACCCCUAAGGCGAGGCCGAAAGGCGUAGUCGAUGGGAAACAGGUUAAUAUUCCUGUACUUGGUGUUACUGCGAAGGGGGGACGGAGAAGGCUAUGUUGGCCGGGCGACGGUUGUCCCGGUUUAAGCGUGUAGGCUGGUUUUCCAGGCAAAUCCGGAAAAUCAAGGCUGAGGCGUGAUGACGAGGCACUACGGUGCUGAAGCAACAAAUGCCCUGCUUCCAGGAAAAGCCUCUAAGCAUCAGGUAACAUCAAAUCGUACCCCAAACCGACACAGGUGGUCAGGUAGAGAAUACCAAGGCGCUUGAGAGAACUCGGGUGAAGGAACUAGGCAAAAUGGUGCCGUAACUUCGGGAGAAGGCACGCUGAUAUGUAGGUGAAGCGACUUGCUCGUGGAGCUGAAAUCAGUCGAAGAUACCAGCUGGCUGCAACUGUUUAUUAAAAACACAGCACUGUGCAAACACGAAAGUGGACGUAUACGGUGUGACGCCUGCCCGGUGCCGGAAGGUUAAUUGAUGGGGUCAGCGCAAGCGAAGCUCUUGAUCGAAGCCCCGGUAAACGGCGGCCGUAACUAUAACGGUCCUAAGGUAGCGAAAUUCCUUGUCGGGUAAGUUCCGACCUGCACGAAUGGCGUAAUGAUGGCCAGGCUGUCUCCACCCGAGACUCAGUGAAAUUGAACUCGCUGUGAAGAUGCAGUGUACCCGCGGCAAGACGGAAAGACCCCGUGAACCUUUACUAUAGCUUGACACUGAACAUUGAGCCUUGAUGUGUAGGAUAGGUGGGAGGCUUUGAAGUGUGGACGCCAGUCUGCAUGGAGCCGGCCUUGAAAUACCACCCUUUAAUGUUUGAUGUUCUAACGUUGACCCGUGAUCCGGGUUGCGGACAGUGUCUGGUGGGUAGUUUGACUGGGGCGGUCUCCUCCUAAAGAGUAACGGAGGAGCACGAAGGUUGGCUAAUCCUGGUCGGACAUCAGGAGGUUAGUGCAAUGGCAUAAGCCAGCUUGACUGCGAGCGUGACGGCGCGAGCAGGUGCGAAAGCAGGUCAUAGUGAUCCGGUGGUUCUGAAUGGAAGGGCCAUCGCUCAACGGAUAAAAGGUACUCCGGGGAUAACAGGCUGAUACCGCCCAAGAGUUCAUAUCGACGGCGGUGUUUGGCACCUCGAUGUCGGCUCAUCACAUCCUGGGGCUGAAGUAGGUCCCAAGGGUAUGGCUGUUCGCCAUUUAAAGUGGUACGCGAGCUGGGUUUAGAACGUCGUGAGACAGUUCGGUCCCUAUCUGCCGUGGGCGCUGGAGAACUGAGGGGGGCUGCUCCUAGUACGAGAGGACCGGAGUGGACGCAUCACUGGUGUUCGGGUUGUCAUGCCAAUGGCACUGCCCGGUAGCUAAAUGCGGAAGAGAUAAGUGCUGAAAGCAUCUAAGCACGAAACUUGCCCCGAGAUGAGUUCUCCCUGACUCCUUGAGAGUCCUGAAGGAACGUUGAAGACGACGACGUUGAUAGGCCGGGUGUGUAAGCGCAGCGAUGCGUUGAGCUAACCGGUACUAAUGAACCGUGAGGCUUAACCUU
rnacentral:rRNA from 1 species